rnacentral:tRNA from 1 species
AAAUAAGAAGCAAAUAUUGCAUUUAGUUUCGACCUAAAAGUAUGGUUUAAACCCUUAUUUU